rnacentral:rRNA from 1 species
AGUGGGGAAUAUUGGACAAUGGGCGAAAGCCUGAUCCAGCAAUGCCGCGUGAGUGAUGAAGGCCUUAGGGUUGUAAAGCUCUUUUACCCGGGAAGAUAAUGACUGUACCGGGAGAAUAAGCUCCGGCUAACUCCGUGCCAGCAGCCGCGGUAAUACGGAGGGAGCUAGCGUUGUUCGGAAUUACUGGGCGUAAAGCGCACGUAGGCGGCUUUGUAAGUUAGAGGUGAAAGCCUGGAGCUCAACUCCAGAACUGCCUUUAAGACUGCAUCGCUUGAAUCCAGGAGAGGUGAGUGGAAUUCCGAGUGUAGAGGUGAAAUUCGUAGAUAUUCGGAAGAACACCAGUGGCGAAGGCGGCUCACUGGACUGGUAUUGACGCUGAGGUGCGAAAGCGUGGGGAGCAAA